GUCACACUCUGAAGAUUCCCCAUAUUUCUAGUGGAGCCGUUUGUGUUUUUUAUGACACUGGGCAUGCACACCCAUUUUACUCCCCCCCUCCCUACCUCCUUCCUCUCAGUUGUGUUUUUUCUGAAUGGUCCUGUCCUCUCUCUAACCUCGACGGGGAGCUCUGUAAGAAGAGACUGCCCUCUGCUUUAGGCCCAGCCCCCCCCCCAGCAUGCCUAUAAGAGGGCGCGCUGUUGGACAUGUGAGUGCGUGUGAGAGUCAGACAGUGACAGUCAGUCAGUAAUUCAUCAGAGAGGGGAGGGAGAGCCCUGUGAAACAUGUGAUAGUGCAACUCUAGCCGGGGCUUGUAGGGAGUUUAACGGCUGUGGUGUCUUCAGAGCUCUGGGAAAGCACCUUUAGCCCAGAGGAAAACCUCACCAACUGCCUCUUGUGAGAAAGAGUGUGUGUGUGAGAGCACAAGAGCGAGAUAGAAAGCGAGAGCCGGCUCUGUAGCUCGCUGCUGCUGUCACUUUAAGCGUGUUACUGAUUAGACUCUGAAGAAUGAAAAUGGGAGGAGGAAAUGACAGAGAAGAAGAUGUGGAUGAAACCUUUCAGUUCCAGACAGAGACGCUGCUGAGGAGCGGCUGUCUGCUCAGGAUCCCUGCUUCAACAGGAGUGAGGAUGAGGAGGGCAGCUGAGGCAAGUCGGGGGGGUUCCCUCAUUCCUAAGUCAGCGCCGGGAAGAAACCCCCACCCAGACGGGAGGCAACGACUGGUCCGAAAAUAUAACCGAACAUCCAUGUGACCCACAGCAGUUCCAAGAAAGGCGGCGUCUCCGUUCUCCACGGCUCUCUGGUGACCGUCAGCUGCUCAGUAGGCAGUGUAGAUCCUGUGUAGUCAUCAGCAGCUACAUCUGGCUACUGGGUCUCUGACGGCGCUGCCUGUGUCCCGCUUCAACAUGGCGGCUCUUCCUUCAUUGGCCGGCCAUGCAUUCCAACCCCGCGGUCAGCUGGAUGUCGGGGGGGCCGUCCUGUAGCCACACACAGGAGGUUCUGUGGCAGCUCCACAAGAGGCUGUUGUCCAGUUCCUUCUUCUUCCUGUUAUGGUCCCCUCCUCCUCCUCCUGCUCUCCAUCUUCUGGAUGAUUCUUGUUCAUCAAAUUAAUCUCCAGUUAAAUGCAUGUCCUAAAAAUGGCGUUGAUGGAUCCCCAGACGCCGCCGGUCUGGGCCGACCUUUGCUUUGUCCUGAACCUGGCAUACAAUGUAGAUUCCUGUGUGGUUCGAUUCUACAGCUACAUUGUCUGCUGGGUUUCUGGCUAGCUAUAUAAGCUUCUGCUACUCCUCCCGUCUUUGCUCCAAAAGUGUAAAACCAGCACAGGUUUCCAGUGCCACCUGCAGCCAUGCUGGUGUGAAUGGUGUGCACUGUGGGCUGCUUUUCCCCUUUAGAACCUGAACAUCCUGAAGGACAAUGAUCAGCCAGCAUGAAGACAAUGAUCCAUAGAUCAUCACUCAGUGGCAAAUAUAAUAAAGACUGAGUUUUAUUGCAAAGGUUCCAGAUCUGAGGACUAACUGCCUCCUAGGUUGGUUUGGAUAAUCAUUUUAUUCCUUUAUUAAAUGAAACCCUCUCUUUAAAACAGUGUUUUAUAUUUACUCAAGUAAUCGAUUUCAGAAUGCGUCUCGUUACUGGAAGCAUUUCACUGUGACACACAGUUUCUCUGCAGCACUGCUCCUUGUAGACGUGCUUCACUCUGUCCAACCUUGAAAAUUCAAUAAAGAGAAAAUAUUUUCAAAUUAAA